AUCGAACGCUGGCGGCAGGCAUAACACAUGCAAGUCUAGCGAGCGGCGGACGGGUGCGUAAUGUCUGGGAUACUGCCUGAUGGAGGGGGGUAACCACUGUAAACGGUAGCUAAUACCGCCUACCAUCGGAUGUCCUCAGAUGGGAUUAGCUAGUAGGUGGGGUAAAGGCUCACCUAGGCGACGAUCCCUAGCUGGUCUGAGAGGAUGACCAGCCACACUGCGACGGAGGCACGGUCCGGACUCCUACGGCAGGCAGCAUUGUGGAAUCUCACACAAUGGGCGCAAGCCUGAUGCAGCCAUGCCGCGUGUAUGAAGGAUGCCUUCGGCUUGUAAAGUUCUGUCAGCGGAGAGGCGUUAGCAGCAGAAGAAGCACAGGCUAACUCCGUGCCAGCAGCCGCGGUAAUAC
rnacentral:rRNA from 1 species